AUGGAUCUUGUUAAUGGACAUUACUGCGAUUGCCUUCUAGGAUUCAGUGGUGCAUACUGUCAAAUUAAUGACGAUGACUGUUCGAGUGAUACUUGUGAGAAUGAUGGUACGUGUUUGGAUGGUAUAGGAGGAUACACGUGUAUCUGUGCACCAGGAUGGGACGAUCCCAAUUGUCAGACAAAUAUUGACGAAUGUGAUUCUCAGCCCUGCCAGAACGAAGGAACAUGUU